GGUGGGCUGGUGUGGCCCGGCCUGCUCCCGGCGUUCCAGGCUCAGGUUCCCUCGUCAGCUCCUCCCCUGCCCGGUCCAGGCCGCGGGGCAAAGCCGCCCGAGGCCCCUUGUCUGCAAGCCGGUAUGCCCUCUUGGAAUGCUGUACUUUCAUAGGAAGAGACGAUGGAGGAGAAAGAAGUGAAUGAUGGAUCACAGGUAGCCAGAUCCCUGGUAAGCUCACUUUUCCUCUCCUCUACAGUGCUGCCAUAGUGCUCAGAAUAUGGGCAGGUCUUAAUCUUUCAGUUCUCAAGUAUUGAGUCCCCCAAAUCCAGAGC
rnacentral:lncRNA from 1 species